CUGAUCCCAGUUCAGACCAGUUCAGACCAGUACCCAUUCAGAGCAGUCCAGACAAGUUCAGGUUCCUGGGAUAACAAAUGGAAAGAGCCCAAUCCCCAAAAUCCAGGAUAAAACUGGGAUUUAUUGGGUCAAACUGGGAGCCGUUCCCAGUUCAGACCAGUUCAGACCAGUCCAAACCAGUUCAAACCAGUACAAACCAGUCCAGACCAGUUCAGACCAGUUCAAACCGGAGCCAGAGAAAAUGCAGGAUAAUAAACGGAUCCCAAAAAUCCCCAAAAUCCCGGAGCAAUUCCCUUCUUUUCUCUUGGGAUUGGAGUAAAAUGGGAACUGAUCCCAGUUCAAACCAGUUCAGACCAGUUCAGACCAGUCCAGACCAGUUCAGACCAGUUCAAACCAGUUCAAACCAGUUCAGACCAGUUCAGACCAGUUCAAACCGGAGCCAGCUGAAAAGCAGGAUAAUAAACGGAUCCCAAAAAUCCCCAAAAUCCCAGAGCAAUUCCCUUCUUUUCUCUUGGGAUUGGAGUAAAAUGGGAGCUGAUCCCAGUUCAGACCAGU